rnacentral:tRNA from 1 species
ACCUGGCUGGCUCAGUCAGGAGAGCAUGUGACUCUUGAUAUUGGGGUCAUGAGUUCAAGUCCCAUGUCUGGUA